rnacentral:rRNA from 1 species
GACGAACGCUGGCGGCGUGCCUAAUACAUGCAAGUCGACCUUAGUGGCGACCGGGUGAGUUACACGUGGGUAACCUACCCCUUCGAAGGGGGUAACACUUGGAAACAGGUGCUAUUACCGAAUACUGAUGGAUGGAGCCGUGUGGUCUUAGCUAGUCGGUGGGGUAACGGCUCACCAAGGCCACGAUGCAUAGCGGACCUGAGAGGGUGAUCAGCCACAUUGGGACUGAGACACGGCCCAAACUCCUACGGGAGGCAGCAGUAGGGAAUAUUCGGCAAUGGACGAAAGUCUGACCGAGCAACGCCGCGUGAGUGAAGAAGGUUUUCGGAUCGUAAAACUCUGUUGUUAGAGAAGCGGUAUCUAACCAGAAAGCCACGGCUAACUACGUGCCAGCAGCCGCGGUAAUUC